GGGUGCAUGGAGCCUUGGAGAGGGUUUAACAGGUAACUGGGGGUGCACAGAGCCAUGGAGGGGGUUCACCAGGUAUCUGGGGUUGCACGGAGCCAAGGGAGGAUGUCACCAGUUAUCUGGGGUUGCACAGAGCUAUAGAAGGGGUUCACCAAGGAACUGGAGGUGUAUGGAGCUAUAGAGGGGGUUCAGCAGGUAACUGGGGGUUCACAGAACCUUUGAUGGUGUUCAGCAGGUAACUGGGGUUCAGGGAGCCUUACUGCAGUCUCCCAUCCUGCAGGCAGUGGGGUUUCGGAGUGCUCCAAGCACGGAGCUGGGCUGCCCUGAUGUGAGGUGCUCCCAGUGUGACCCCCCAAGCACCCCACUCCCUGCAGGGCUCAGCUGAGCUCCGAGGGACAGCUUGUGCCUGGCUCCAGUCAAUUUCUUGUGUUUUAUGUGAAGCUGGAGCCAACACGCAGCUGAAACCCACGGAGGCUUUUAGCUGUUGGAUCAGCCCCUGAAGCGUGUAACUGUAUUCCUCAUUCCUUCAUCUUCUGGAGGAAAUCUGGGAUUAGGAUCUUUCUGGGACAGCCCAUACAGGGAAGCUCAGCCCUGUGUUAGUCUGCGCCAGUUCCAUUGCCUGGCUGUGUGCCGGCAGAGCAUCCCGGGUACCACUCUGAGGCUCCAGACCUGCAUCCAUGCGUACACCCCUUGAUUUCACAGCCUCGUUCCCACGGGAUCCUCCAAAGCCCUGUAUUUAGGUGUCUGCAUGGGUUUCAUCUGCGUGGUCGCAGUCACCACAGAUUGGAUCUGAGCCCAUGGAAGAGAAUACUGGAUGAAUAUCAUGGAUGCAUCAGUGGUUUAAGCACUCUACAGAGCAGAAUCGUGGUCCCGCUUAAGGAGGGCGGUGAUGCUCAGCUGAAUGCUCAGGUGAGGCUCCAAAAUAACCCAUCCCCUCUUCUUUUCCAGCUUCUCCCCCUUGAAGACAUGGCUCUGAUCCGCUGAAGGGGCUCAGCAGAGAUGCUGCAAGCACCAGAGGAGCAUCAACAGCCCGAGGUGGAAACUGCUCACCCUGCCUGCUGGGGAAGAGUCUCACCGGUGGAUGUCCUGGUACUCUGACACCAUACAGACAAUGGCAUUCCAAACCAACCCUGGUUUUUCAUGGCUGCUGCCCAGACGCAGUGGCAAAUUCAUGUUGUUUUCAGGUCAACCCAUGCUCUGAACUUGGGGAGAAAUAAACAGGGGACAGAGUUUA